GCUCAUAGCCAAACCACGUUGAAUACACGCUGACCCCUCCGAUCUGGGACAUUAAGCAACGUUGGGCUUUGUUAUUGCUCGGAUCGGUUGCGGCAUGGGAGUCCGAGGUGUCGUGGGCG
rnacentral:rRNA from 1 species